rnacentral:snRNA from 1 species
AUCUUAGUGCAAGGGUUUUACACAUAGCAGUGAGAGUCCGCUCGAGUUUGUGUUUUUGCUAGUUGAAAACUACAUCCUGACCACUCCUACCUUACAUAUACCGGUAGGGAAUUUUUGAAACACAAAUUCUCAU